rnacentral:rRNA from 1 species
GACGGGGGGGGCAAGUGUUCUUCGGAAUGACUGGGCGUAAAGGGUACGUAGGCGGUGAAUCGGGUUGAAAGUGAAAGUCGCCAAAAAGUGGCGGAAUGCUCUCGAAACCAAUUCACUUGAGUGAGACAGAGGAGAGUGGAAUUUCGUGUGUAGGGGUGAAAUCCGUAAAUAUACGAAGGAACGCCAAAAGCGAAGGCAGCUCUCUGGGUCCCUACCGACGCUGGGGUGCGAAAGCAUGGGGAGCGAACAGG